UACGUAGGGGGCGAGCGUUGUUCGGAUUUACUGGGCGUAAAGCGUGCGUAGGCGGUCUGGCAAGUCCGGCGUGAAAUCCGCACCACUUAACGGGCGGGUGUCGUUGGAUACUACCAGGCUAGAGGACGAGAGAGGAAAUUGGAAUUCCAGGUGUAGCGGUGGAAUGCGCAGAUAUCUGGAAGAACACCAGUGGCGAAGGCGGAUUUCUGGCUCGUUUCUGACGCUGAUGCACGAAAGCCAGGGGAGCGAACGGG
rnacentral:rRNA from 1 species